rnacentral:rRNA from 1 species
UUAAUUAGUAUUAGUUAUGUUCUUUAAAGUUAAAAAUUUUGGCGGUAUUUUAGUCUAUUUAGAGGAACCUGUUUAAUAAUUGAUAAUCCACAAUUUAUUUUACUUAUUUUAAUAAAUUUGUAUAUCGUCGUUAAUGAAUAUUUUAAAAGAAUUUAAAUAUUCAGGAUUUAUAAUUUUAGAAUAAGUCAGAUCAAGGUGCAGUAUAUAAAUAAGGUGUAAUGGGUUACAAUAAAGUUAUUUAUGGAUAAAUAAUUGAAAUUAUUUUGAAAUUGGAUUUAAUAGUAAUAAAAUUUAAUUUAGUUUUAUGAUUUAAGCUCUAGAAUAUGCACACAUCGCCCGUC